AUUGAACGCUAGCGGGAUGCUUUACACAUGCAAGUCGAACGGCAGCGCGGACUUCGGUCUGGCGGCGAAUGGCGAACGGGUGAGUAAUGUAUCGGAACGUGCCCAGUAGCGGGGGAUAACUACGCGAAAGCGUAGCUAAUACCGCAUACGCCCUACGGGGGAAAGCAGGGGAUCGUAAGACCUUGCACUAUUGGAGCGGCCGAUAUCGGAUUAGCUAGUUGGUGAGGUAACGGCUCACCAAGGCGACGAUCCGUAGCUGGUUUGAGAGGACGACCAGCCACACUGGGACUGAGACACGGCCCAGACUCCUACGGGAGGCAGCAGUGGGGAAUUUUGGACAAUGGGGGCAACCCUGAUCCAGCCAUCCCGCGUGUGCGAUGAAGGCCUUCGGGUUGUAAAGCACUUUUGGCAGGAAAGAAACGUCGCGGGCUAAUACCCCGUGGAACUGACGGUACCUGCAGAAUAAGCACCGGCUAGCUACGUG
rnacentral:rRNA from 1 species